GUUUUUCAGUAGCUGGUCAACCUUGGCAGUCAGCUCAUCUAUUUUCUGGGCGUCAGAACUGUUUCCUUUCUUGGAGCAAUCACUCUCCUCUUUCUUAUUAGCUGAGCUAGCAGCCAUAUUCUCAAUCAGCUUAAACGCUCCAGCAGUGGUUUGAGUCAUGAAGUCUCCAUUGCUCGCAGAGUUUAGAGCACCUUGGUAUUUCCAGUCCACUCCAUCAUAGAAAAUGUCCA
rnacentral:lncRNA from 1 species